AGAUUGAACGCUGGCGGCGUGCCUAACACAUGCAAGUCGAGCGGUAACAGGUGUAGCAAUACAUGCUGACGAGCGGCGAACGGGUGAGUAAUGCUUCGGAAUCUACCUUAUGGUGGGGAAUAACUAGCCGAAAGGUUAGCUAAUACCGCAUACGUCCUACGGGAGAAAGCAGGGGAUCGCAAGACCUUGCG
rnacentral:rRNA from 1 species